rnacentral:rRNA from 1 species
CUUUUAUGGAGAGUUUGAUCCUGGCUCAGGAUGAACGCUGGCGUCGUGCCUAAUACAUGCAAGUCGAGCGAAC